CGAUCGGCGCAGAUGCGAUCAAGCAUCUGUAACGGUUCUUCGAUAAUUAAUGGUCUUAAAUCGUCUUUAAUCACCAUCCCACUACGAAGCUCCCUCUCCUGCGCUGUUCGCCGUCUUUGCCACCAUUGACUUUUAGGGUUCUUCCUGUUCUUCGAGCUCUGAGUAGAUAAACCGACAUAUGUGAGACAAAUCGUUAUGACGAAUCUCUAGAUCAAGCUGUCAGACGCGUCGUUUCUUCCGAAUCAAUCUAGAUCUGAAACUCUCAAGCGUCUCCUCACAGGUUGUUUUGCCUCUUCAAUUAUCUCAUAAUCUUCAGUUUGAUCUCUGUUUCAAUAUUUGAUCUCUGUUUCAAUAGAUUUAACGAUUGAAGAAACACUCGAUGAUGUUUUAUGGACAGUUUUGUUUUUAUCACAUAACCCAAGCUGCAAGCUUGUGUUUUUGUUUGCAUCUUUUGCAGUUACCAUCACGUAUCUCCUCUUGGGUUAUAUGCUUAGAUGGGUUCUUCUCUUGCAGAUUUUGAAGGCUUUAAGAUCACAUGAGAGCCUGAGGUUGUGAUUGCACCAAGUUAGCAGCUUUACAUGAUCGAUGUAUCUGUUCUUUAAACAUGGGAGAUUGUGUCAUCGGAGCUUUCAUCAGUAUUCUUGAAAGCGUUGCUAUUAAUUUUGGAACAAACCUUCUCAAAUUGAGACAUAAUAAGAGAAAGAAGUUAGCUUUACAUGCAAGAUAAUGGUCGAGAAAAGACGUCAUUGAAGCCUCUUAUACAGUUCAGACAUGGAUAGUUGAUGCAACUGUUGAUCAAUAGAAAAUGCCAGAAAAAAAUGAAAAU